CAAGUGGCCACCGAGAAUCUCCACAGCUCUGGGCUUGGGACCCAAGGCCCUGGUGGUGUGGGCUCAUGAAGGGAUCUCCUGAUUAGCGGGUUGCACAGAUCCAUGGAAAAAGUGUGGUUUCCCAGAUCUGAAAGAAACGUACCAUCUAUUCUUCGAAGGCUGCAACCAGUGAGGUUUCAUCUACAUAACAAGACCACCUUUGGCGGCCAGGCCUCCUCUUCUCUCCCUCCCAUUACCUGUUUUGCCAUUAUAACCUGAUUUACCACUAUAACCUGUUUUUGCCUGUGCUCUGGACUCCCAUUCUUUCUGUAACCUCAAGAUGAUAUGUAAGCUUCUGCACCCCAUUGGUGAGUUGAGCAGUCACUCUGUGGUUCUCCCUGUGCUCACAUUAAUAAAAUCUAUAUUCCUUUUCUCCA
rnacentral:lncRNA from 1 species